UUGUACAGCUCAGAAUGAAAAGCUGGUGGGGAAGGGAAACCUGAAUUCACACACUACGGAGGAUGACUUACAAAACCACACGCUUGCAUGUGAAAUAAAGCGGAAGACUGAGAAGAAGGAGAAGGACAGUUGUGAUGGUGUUGGUUAGCGUUCGUAACCGGUUUCUGCUGCGGUUGUGGGGAAGGAGUGGAAAUGCAGGGUAGGGCCCGUAGCACCGGCAAGUGAAACACAUAUGGGAAAUCUCUGAAAAGACCUCAGAUACCUGUUCUGCACAGAAAGGUUUUAAUACGUUUUUGGAACUGCUGGUUUGUUGGUUCCGCCCGCCCCCCUCUUUAGGAGUCGUGCCCUGGAGAUUUUGGGCUCCUCUGGAAGGAAGAUGGAAUUUCCAACAUCUGCGCCUGAGUCGUCAUCAGUUUGUGCCAGUUCUGGGGGGCAGACAGGAGUAAGCAGGCUGGUGCUGAAUGCUUUGAGUCCUUUAUUUCCUAUAGCAGCAAGGAGGAAACUUGUUGGGAAAAAUAACCUCCAACAUAUUUUUUUUUUUUAAGCUUAAACCCAUUAUGUUUAAGCAUGUGCUUUUUGAUUUUUUC